UCUUCGUUCUUCUUCUUCGUUCUUCAUUUUUUCACUUUCAAACCACCAUUUUCGGACCACUUCAAACACUAACCUCACAGGUUCUCAUAACAUGAAUCUCUCUAAUAGCAACCUCACACUCCAAAUCAUUGUCAAUCAUAGUCAAAACCUUUCGAUUAGCAACCUCAGAUUCCGAUUCUAUGGCGUUUUUCGUCCAAACCUUUCUAAUGGCGUUUUUCGAUUCAAUCGCUCAUCGGAUAUAACAACACAAUUACCAUUCGAGGCCGGCGACAUUCGUAUUGAAGACAUAGUUGCUAAGUUACAUUUGACAAGUUGAAGAUUGGGGUUGUAGAUAAGCUUCACCAAGGACUCUUGGAGAUGGUUUGUCUAGUUACUUCCUGAUGACAUUGGUGGUGAGAGUAGGUGGCGCUUCAUAUCUGAUCAGCAAAAGGGAAUAGUGUAAGUAUUUGAGGAAUAAUGUACUGAUAUUGAGCACGGAAUUUUGUCUAAUGCAUUUUAUGCUAACUUCAAGAAGGUACAGUCUUCAGAGUAGUCUAAAAUUGUGGUAAGUGAUUGUGGAGUUUAAUUGUGUUUAAAUAUAGUCUAAAAUUGUGUUUAAAAUCAGUCUAAAAUUUUAUAUAGUAUUAUUUUGUAAAAAGUAUGAAUUGAAUAUUUGAUGAUCACGGUGAGCUUAUGAUUUUGAUUUGAUGAUACAAUGUGGUUUUGUUGCAUUUUGAAAUAGCAUAUAUGAGUCCCCAUAGUGUUGAAUAGAGGUGAAGUUAACUUGAAACCGCUCAAGUCAGAUGUUAGUUCAAUUCAGUUGCGCAUGGCCAGAUAACACAGGUAUGUGAAAUCUAGAUGUGAAAAUCAUUAUUUUUGUGAUUUGGUGUGUAUCUGUCAUAUACUGGAGUGAAAGAGUUCGUUAUUGAUUCAACUGAAUUCUCUAACCAUAUAUGUUUGGCAUUCUUUUUGUAUAUAUAGUGGCUGCAGUGACUAACGGCCAAUCCAUUAAGCUAUAUAAACUAUUAGGUUCAAACACAUAAGCAACAAUAUUUUAAAACUGUAACUGUGAUAAGCUGAAAUAAUGCAACUGGAUUUGAUGUUUUAAAAAUCCAAAACUCAAAAUCAUAUAGUAAACAUUUAUCGCAUAAGCCAAAACAGCCACUCCAACUACAAAUAAGCCUACUAAUCAUGUCUAUGAAACAAAGUUUAAAAACUUCAACUGUUAAACAUUAACCAAUGUCGAUGCUUUCACAAGGAUUAUCCCAACGAUGUUUAAAAUGCCUUAUGAAGCUUUUCUUGAUUAUUCCAAUAAGCCUUUGACUUUGACACCACUUCAUCGAGCAACACAUUAUUGGCUGAAUGUACCAAAAAUAGCGCUAGUUUCAUUCUCGUCGAUGUCGAAACCUAUAUAUAAUUAUGAAUAUUUAGGAUAAUUAGAAAUAUAACUACAAGAGAAAUUAUUAAAUUAAUCAUUUUCACAUGAAUUCAACUUAUAGUCAUAUCAUCUAAAUACCACCAGUGUAAGCAACACUCAAUCAUCCAUUUACAGACCCAAACUCCACAAUCAUUUACGCGUUCAAUCAGUAAGUGCAUUAGAGACACAUAAUAGGUAAUACUAUCAAUCGAAUAAAAAAUAGUAAUAUAUGAGAGUACUUACGAUUCGGGUAGUUGUUGAAGGCGUGUCGGUUGACAUAUGCUGAAUGUUGUUAUUAAAUUUUUUGGACAAGGUGAUUUCGAGCCACAAAAGAAUUCAUGCAUCAGAAUUUCCUCAAGAAAUAUGGCCUGCCACAUAGUACAAACCAAAGUUAAAAAAAGCUAAAUUGAUUGGACAGUAUAAAAACCAAUUCGCACACACAUGUGCAUACCAAUUUUCUAAUUAAUCUGUGUUUGAUAUAAUGUAUUUCAGGACAAUCCCAUGAGUCCAACCAAACCAAUUUUCCCCCCUCAAAGUCAACUACAAUUAGAAACCAGUGCACUCCAUCGCCGUUUAUGGGAAUAAAAAUCUGCAAAAACGUAAUAUUAAGUUGUAGUAAGAAUUUGUAUAUGUGCCAACUGUUUUCGCAACAAAGUGACAUACAACUAACCUUACCAAUCCAUUAUUUUGGUCUCAAUAUGUGAGGUUGGUAUAUAUUCCUCACAUAUUCAGCAGUAUGAUUUCCGCUCAAGGCAUAUUGCUGCAAUUAGAAUAAGUGUAUCUUAAGUCAACAAUUCAUACUGAAGGAAUAUACAUUUGACAUUACUAUUAGUAGCAGUACUCACCACAAACUCAGUGGGAAGAUACCAAGAGGACUAGUUUCUUACCGCAUUAUUUAUGAACCAGUUUUGUCUUACAGCAACAAGAUUGCUAAUCUGUAUAGUAAAAUGAAGAUGAUAUUAACAAAAUUAUACAUUAACGGGAUAAAUUAUACUCAUAAUCAUAUUAACAAUAACCUCUUGAUCCAUAGGGCAUUCUGGCAUCAGUGUAUUCAAAGCUUUCCUAUUUACGUAUACACCUGAAGUUGUUUUGACCAAAACCUCCUCACUACAGAGAAAAUAGAUAUAAUCAUCAAAAUAACUAUGAAAAAUAAACUUACUAUUAGGUUUUAGCACGUGUAUUAAAAAUAAAUACCCGUUCAGUUUUUCUUCGUCGCGCAUAAAGAUGUACGCGACUGUGUAAGAACAAAUGUCAUUUAGAUGGGUGCAUUGAGGUGGUCUAGAUGUGAUUGGCUUCCACUGUCAUUAAUUACACAUGAAACAAAAAAUGCUGUCACAAUAAAUUAUAUAGUAUCGUGUAGUAUUAGGAUUUAUUGAAAAUAAAUAAUGAAUACUUAUGUUAGGAAUUGUAGUAAGAGCAUGAACACCUUCAUAUCCAACAAAAUCACCUAAAUGACAGUUGAUGUAAAAGUCAUCAUCAUCGGGUUCAUUAUCGUUGGGUUCCUCAUCUUGACUGAAAAACGUCUUUUGAAUCUUUUGUAAUUUCCCGUCAUUUAUAUUUCUCUUACCCCCAUCCUUUUGUUGUUUUUCGGGGGAGCCGAGGUUGUGCCCAUAGUCGCUCUACUUUUAUACUUUGUGGCUUUCCUUUCAGUUGCCGCAAAAUUCUUAGUGGUACGCUUUAGAUGUAUUGCUUUGUUUUUUUAGACAAGGAUGUAUUUAUUUUUUGAACAAGGAUGUAAUUUAGUUUUUGGAAGUGUUAUGUGAUUGUAUUUCUUGUUGAACCAGUGUUAUGUGAUGUACUAAUGGUUAGGUUUUUAUGAACUUCUUGUAUUUCUUGUUGUCCAAGUUAUAUGUUAAACAAGUGUUAUGUUAAACAAGUGUUACGUUAAACAAGUGUUAUGUUAAAUGUUUUUUGUUAAAGGUUUAUGUUAAGCAAGUGUCGUGUUAAAGGUUUUCAUGUGAAGGUUAGUGAAGAAGUUUGAUCAAGGUUUUUAUGUAGUGUAUGUGAAACUUUGUUUGUCUAAAAACUUUGGUUAAGGUCUUUUUGUGUAAUUUUUUAUGUGAAACUUUGUUUGUCUAAAAGCUUUGGUUUUUAUGUGUUUGAAUAUGAAGGUUACUAUGAAAACUGUUUAAUGUUGUUUAUCUAAAAUCUAUUCAUUGCUUGAUUAAUUUAUAAAUCAAUUCUUCACAAGACCUUAACCAAAGUUUCAUCACAUAACUAUAUUAGAUCCUUUUUCACAAAUAGAAAUACAUCCUUGUCUAACAAAAUAAACAUCAUCCCAACAAUAAACCUCUUUAAAAAACAAACAUAACAUUGAAAACCAAACAUGUUCCAACAAAACAUAAUAUUCAUAAGAGCCAACAGUAUGGCCAAUAUUACAUAAUUUAUAUGGCUUAUGCAAGAUGAUUACAAUCUUUUUGUAUCAUUAAUCACAUCCACAAAAGCAUAGCCAUUACAAACUACAAGUCAAACAAAACAAAACACAACCAUAUUUCCACUUCUACAUAAAAACACAACAGCCACAAAUUACCACUCCCAGAGUCACUUAUCCAACAUCUUUCAUUUCACCAGAGCUGUAACAUCCCGAAAAUUCUUUUUUAAUUAAUUUAAUUAAGUUUUAAAUUAAUUAUUGGAAAUUAGCAUUUUAUCGAAUUAUGUGGAGAAAUUAUAAAAUGUAAGUCAUUGGGCCAUGUGGUGGAAUUAGUAAGGUGGGAGUGUAAUUGUGAAGGAGCCCAUUUCUAAUUUUGUAUUUUUCAUAAAAUAAGGAAAACAAGAGGAGAAAGAAAUUAGAACGUGAAAACAAGAAGUUGUGAGAAGAGGGAGAGCUGAAAACGUGAAGGAGAACCAAAGAGGAAGAAUACCCAUUCAAGAAUUUGGCUAAGGUAAGGGGGACUUAUCUGAUUAGCAUCUAUUAUCGGGUUAGGGGUUGAUAAUACUAAAUAGAUGUAGAAUUCGGGUCGAUUGAGUCAUACGAUAGAUUUAGGGAUUGAGUUAAAUUGUAUGAUGUUUGAUUCCCUAUGUUUGAAUCCAUGAUGUUUGUGUUGAUAUGGUCUCAAUUGAUGCGUAAUUGGUGUAUUAUGAUGUGUAUUUUCGUGUUGUAUGUGCAUUCCAUUUCCUUAGGUUCGUACUGGUAUGAAUUGAGUGAGUUUGGAAUGUGUAGAAUGUUGUGUUCUGCGAUUGGGGGUUUCUGAAAAUCGCCAGUUUGUGCCGCGUCCCAGGGUUGGCGCCGCGAACUGCCUGGCAGAAAGCCAGGAAGUUUUGAUGUAUUCAAUACGCGCCGCGAGAACAUGGUUGGGCCACGAAGGCGUACUCCUUUUCUCGUUUCGCGACGCGAGCAUAUGUUUGCGCCGCGAAGUACUUGGUAGAGGGCCAAGGAGUUUUGAGACGCUCAGUUCGCGCCGCGAACCAAGGUUGGCACCGCGUGCUGUUAGUGACAGACUAUUUUUGAAAAGUUUAAAGAUGCAUAACUUUUGAACCGCUGGUCCGUUUAGUGUGCCGUUUCGAGCUAAACGAACCUUAUAAAAUAAUCUAUUUGAUGAUUAAUGAUGUGAUUGUGAUUGAAUAAUGCACACACACACACACAUAUAUAUAUAUAUAUAUAUAUAUAUAUAUAUAUAUGUAAACAUGCUUGAUGAUGAUGAUGAUUAUGAUGAAAUGAGUAUUUGAUGAUGUUACUCAUUAGACUUGACGAUGGUAUAAGUAUGUUCAUGUAUGUUUGCAUUCAUUCAUAUUCAUUGAUGAUGCUGAAUCCAUGAUGAUGUGUUGGAUCAAUAAAGGGCAUGAUUCCCAUUGUGUGGAAUCUGUGCUGGCAGGGCCGUAUCUUGAUGAUGUUGGAUCGGUCAUGGGUUAUUCCCAUUUGAUGAUGUUGGUACCACAUGCAUAGUGUCAGUUCAUACAUAUGCAUACUUUUAUAACAUGAUUGGAUGUAUUCCAGUGUUAUAAAUAUUGAUGAUGGGUUGAUUGAUUGUUUGUGAUGAUGAAACUUGUCUGAAUGUCUGUUAUGAAACAAUUGGGUGAAUGAUGCAGCUAUGAUGUGUUAUUGCUUUAUAGUCUUAUAACAUUUGUUAAUUAUGAUGAGACUCACCCUUACAUGUUGUCAUUUUCAGAUUGAGGAUAACGGAUGUUCGACUCGGUGAGGAUUAGCUCAUGAGUCAGUUUUUUUUAGUUAGCGUCAGGUGUCAUGCUCUGAUAUUUGUAACACUGGGGACACGAUGUUUAGAGUUUAUGGUUUAUAACUCUGGUUAUGUUUUGAUGUGUGAAGGAUUAGUUUUAAAGAUGUUAAACUUAAUCCAUUUGAGUUAAUUUCUGCUGUGUUAACAUGAAAUAUUUUUAUUUGUUGAUGAAUGCCUCAGUGAAUACAUGACAUAACUGAACGAUGUUUAUUUUAUUAUGAAUUGUGGCACCCUUAUUUUCAUGUAUUCUGAAUAAACUUAUUAAUUGCCGCGGAGGUUUAGUAAGGGGUGUUACAAGAGCCACUGCAACCCUAUUCGAUGGAGGUUCGCGUACGGUAAACGCAAGCUUAUCACCUUUACGGAGGCCCUUGUGCUUCACAAAUUCGUACCAACUCUGCCCAAUGAACCUUUCAGCACAGUACUCCCUUUCUUUGAAAUGAAGUUUGCAUUCAUAGGUUUUCUGUGUAUCAGAAUCCAACAGCUGAAUACGAGUCUGACCAAAUGGGAAGCAAUUCUUUAUCACCUUUUGAGGGAAUUGCUACACGUAACAUACUAAAUGUUCUUUCACUAAACAGGAUUCGAAAUACAUUCCCAUACUUAUAUCAUUACAUGUAAAUGUUUAAAUACUUACAAAUACAUUCUUUGCUGCAGUCUUCCCAUCGUUGAUUUCCCUUUUCCAUACGUAGUACC